rnacentral:tRNA from 1 species
GGGCCGCUAGCUCAACGGUAGAGCAAUUCCCUCUUAAGGAAUCGGUUACAGGUUCAAAUCCUGUGCGGCUCA